GAAAUGCGAUAAGUAAUGUGAAUUGCAGAAUUCAGUGAAUCAUCGAAUCUUUGAACGCACCUUGCGCUCCUUGGUAUUCCUUGGAGCAUGCCUGUUUGAGUAUCAUGAAAUCUUCAAAGUAAAUCUUUUGUUAACUCAAUUGGUUUCUACUUUGGUAUUGGAGGUCUUUGCAGCUUCACACCUGCUCCUCUUUGUUCAUUAGCUGGAUCUCAGUGUUAUGCUUGGUUCCACUCGGCGUGAUAAGUUAUCUAUCGCUGAGGACACUGUAAAAGGUGGCCAAGGUAAAUGCAGAUGAACCGCUUCUAAUAGUCCAUUGACUUGGACAAUACUUUUAUGAUCUGAUCUCAAAUCAGGUAGGACUACCCGCUGAACUUAAUC
rnacentral:misc_RNA from 1 species